GGGCGUGUAACUCAGUGGUAGAGUGCUCGCUUCGCAUCGUUUCGAUACUGAAAUGCGAGAAGUCCAGGGUUCAACUCCCUGCUCGUCCA